rnacentral:rRNA from 1 species
CAUGCAAGUCGAACGAACUCUGGUAUUGAUUGGUGCUUGCAUCAUGAUUUACAUUUGAGUGAGUGGCGAACUGGUGAGUAACACGUGGGAAACCUGCCCAGAAGCGGGGGAUAACACCUGGAAACAGAUGCUAAUACCGCAUAACAACUUGGACCGCAUGGUCCGAGCUUGAAAGAUGGCUUCGGCUAUCACUUUUGGAUGGUCCCGCGGCGUAUUAGCUAGAUGGUGGGGUAACGGCUCACCAUGGCAAUGAUACGUAGCCGACCUGAGAGGGUAAUCGGCCACAUUGGGACUGAGACACGGCCCAAACUCCUACGGGAGGCAGCAGUAGGGAAUCUUCCACAAUGGACGAAAGUCUGAUGGAGCAACGCCGCGUGAGUGAAGAAGGGUUUCGGCUCGUAAAACUCUGUUGUUAAAGAAGAACAUAUCUGAGAGUAACUGUUCAGGUAUUGACGGUAUUUAACCAGAAAGCCACGGCUAACUACGUGCCAGCAGCCGCGGUAAUACGUAGGUGGCAAGCGUUGUCCGGAUUUAUUGGGCGUAAAGCGAGCGCAGGCGGUUUUUUAAGUCUGAUGUGAAAGCCUUCGGCUCAACCGAAGAAGUGCAUCGGAAACUGGGAAACUUGAGUGCAGAAGAGGACAGUGGAACUCCAUGUGUAGCGGUGAAAUGCGUAGAUAUAUGGAAGAACACCAGUGGCGAAGGCGGCUGUCUGGUCUGUAACUGACGCUGAGGCUCGAAAGUAUGGGUAGCAAACAGGAUUAGAUACCCUGGUAGUCCAUACCGUAAACGAUGAAUGCUAAGUGUUGGAGGGUUUCCGCCCUUCAGUGCUGCAGCUAACGCAUUAAGCAUUCCGCCUGGGGAGUACGGCCGCAAGGCUGAAACUCAAAGGAAUUGACGGGGGCCCGCACAAGCGGUGGAGCAUGUGGUUUAAUUCGAAGCUACGCGAAGAACCUUACCAGGUCUUGACAUACUAUGCAAAUCUAAGAGAUUAGACGUUCCCUUCGGGGACAUGGAUACAGGUGGUGCAUGGUUGUCGUCAGCUCGUGUCGUGAGAUGUUGGGUUAAGUCCCGCAACGAGCGCAACCCUUAUUAUCAGUUGCCAGCAUUAAGUUGGGCACUCUGGUGAGACUGCCGGUGACAAACCGGAGGAAGGUGGGGAUGACGUCAAAUCAUCAUGCCCCUUAUGACCUGGGCUACACACGUGCUACAAUGGAUGGUACAACGAGUUGCGAACUCGCGAGAGUAAGCUAAUCUCUUAAAGCCAUUCUCAGUUCGGAUUGUAGGCUGCAACUCGCCUACAUGAAGUCGGAAUCGCUAGUAAUCGCGGAUCAGCAUGCCGCGGUGAAUACGUUCCCGGGCCUUGUACACACCGCCCGUCACACCAUGAGAGUUUGUAACACCCAAAGUCGGUGGGGUAACCUUUUAGGAACCAGC